rnacentral:lncRNA from 1 species
AAGAAGUUUACUGGAACAGUAGAACUGGAAGUGCUGGUCCUGCUGGAGCCUCGUAUGUCAUUUUUUUUGUUAUAGUUUCUAUUUUUGUAGUGCUGUCAAUUCUUGCAUCUUAGAUGUUUGACAAAAUGUUUGUUCACAAAAUGUUUGUUCACAUCUUAUAGUACUCACUCAAAAUUGUUUGCUUAUGAACAAAUGAACAAUUGUAAUAUAUUGGAGCAAAUCUAUUU